GGUGCUAUACUUUAAAUAUAAAAGGUCUGAUUUGCAUUUAGGAGAUGAAAAUUAAUUUUCUGGCGCCA
rnacentral:tRNA from 1 species